ACUUAGUUAGUUUAUAAGAAUUUUAGUUUGUGGCGCUAAAGGAACAAUAAGGUUGUACUAAGUU
rnacentral:tRNA from 1 species